ensembl:snRNA U6 U6 spliceosomal RNA
GUAUUCUUCACUUCGGUAGCACAUAUACUAAAAUUGGAAUGAUACAAAGAAGAUUAGCAUGGCCCCUGCGCAAAGAUGACACACAAAUUCGUGAAGUAUUCCAUAUUUUU